rnacentral:rRNA from 1 species
UACAGAGGUCUCGAGCGUUAGGCGGAAUCACUGGGCUUAAAGCGUGUGUAGGCGGAUUGGUAAGUACCUUGUGAAAUCCCACGGCUCAACCGUGGAACUGCUCGGUAUACUGCCUGUCUUGUGCAACCUAGGGGCGAGCGGAACAGAUGGUGGAGCGGUGAAAUGCGUAGAUAUCUGGAGGAACACCGGUGGCGAAGGCGGCAUCCUGGACCAAUAUUGACGCUGAGGAGCGAAAGCCAGGGGAGCAAACGGG